CACAAAGCCUCAACACAUAAAUUACUUUAGUUUAUGGUUAAGCAUACUAAAGUAUGCAGUCGUAAUCCAUAUCAAUAGCCAUGUUUCACAAAAAAGCACUCUUCCUUAUUAUUGUGUCACGUUUUAUUAUACUUUUGGAUAUCCUUAUUUUACCUUAUUUUAUUUUGACCUCCACCCAACACUGUACAAUAACCUAAUUAUACUUUUAACUUGUACAGAAGCCAUUUUCUCUUAUUCCACAACGUUUGAUGAAAUGGCAUUGAAGGAACGGAGUAUACAAUUAUUAGGUUUUUAGAGGUUAAUUUGUUAACCAUAUCCUGUAUGCAAACGUUAUGUUGGGAUAAGUGCACUAUGCCCAUUUUUAUUUAAGAGUGCAGUCGACUGUGCUCCAACUCCAUUGCGUUGCUAUUUGGAACUGUUAACUUCUGGUGACUAUUGAAAGACAUGAUACAAAUGCUAUCGGUGUGCCAAGUAAAAGGGAAAGUAUGCGACUUGGAACACAGCCACAUACUUCCGCGAUCCAUUGCUGUAAAGAGCGAACGGAGAUGACGCAACCCUCUAUGGCGGGAUCGUUCUGAUUUCUAGAAUGUUCCUAGCGAUUAACCAAUGGUAUAGAAGUAUCAAUCCUGGUAGUAAAGUUUUAAGCCAAUCAGGGCUUGUUUUAUUAAAAAAGGUGCAUUUAAGUUUGAUGGGAAAGUUAUGUGUCGUCAUUAUCCUUUUAGACACGGCACGCUAAAGUUGGAUAGCAAAUCUUCGCAUUUUGCAACAGAACUCGACUGGACGAUGUCUUCUUCCUUGCGCCUAUCCCUUCUCUCCACACACCUUGUUUCUUUGGGUGGCCACGGCCAGAUGGCCUAGUGUGAGUGCAGGCCAGAGAACAUUGGGACCAGUUGAGCACGGUUAGGUGUGAAAACGGCCAACGGCCACCGCCAGAUGGCCUAGUGUGAGUGCACCCUUUGUUUAGUUUGGCUCCUGUCAGCGCUGCUGUCUAUUUGUUUGAUUUCACCUCCACAUGCAUACACCACAUACUCCAAGCACCCACACAUUGUGACAAUCCAGCGCUCUUUGCUCCUAACCUCUACCUGGUGUUUUUGUUGUAUGUGAGUGUUGCCUAUGUAGCUAGAGAGCACUGGCUUGCCAUUUAUGGGUGGGUGUGAUACAUUCUUAGUCUAAUUAUUCAUUUGAAUAACAUGUUUGUCUUUGUUGUGUGUGUACCAGGGGAUCCCUGUAGGUGGAGUUGCUGGCUUAUGGUGAAAUAGCUGUGCCGCCGUUGCCGUGGAUGUCCAUUUGUCAAUACUUACAAAUGGAGGAUGCGAUAUUAAUUUCCUUUUCAAAUUUGUAAAUUGCUGCAACGCCGAAGUUUGCCAUCACCUUCUUGCUGAACUGGUAGUUUGAGGGGAUGCCGAACGUGGUUUGAGUUCGAUAAUUAUCUUUUUAAAUCCGCUGCUUUCGACCAGUAAUGCCAAGUACGGCCUAAUUUCUUCUGCAAUAAAACCCAUUAUGGCUUGGUGAUCAUUUUGCUUGUUCAGAAUCUGCAGAGAGGCUGCUGCUUAAAGAGGAACGGGAAAGGGGCAGCAUUAUAUUUUUUGGUACACUAAGUGAGAUACCCAGGAACAUCCCACCUACAGAAGUUCUGAAAUGACUCCACGUGAGCUGCAUCAGUGAGGACAAGUACAGAGGAGUGGUGGAGGGUUUCGUCAGAUGAUCCGAGGGGAACCACCACCAGCUCAACAUCAGCAAGACAAAGGAGCUGGUGGUGUACUCCCGAUGGAGGAGGAAGGCCCCAACCCCCAUUACCAUCCAGGGGGUUGAAAUAGAGACACUAUUUCAACACUCAUACAAGUUCUUUGGAGUACUCAUAAACAAUAAACUGGACUGGACAGACAACACAGAGGCCCUCUAUCGGAAGAGUCAGAGCAGACUCUUCUUCCUCAGUAGGCUCAGGUCCUUUGACGUGUGUGGCAGGCUACUAAUGAUGUUCUACCAGUCUGUGGUAGCCAGCACACUUCUUUGCUGGGGCGUGCUGGGGAGGUGGCACCAAGUCUGGGGAGUCCAACAGACUCAACAAGCUGAUGAGAAAGGUCACCUCUGUUGUAGGGCUCCAGGGGGUUGAAAUAGAGACACUGGACUCAUCCAAGUUCCUUGGAGUACACAUAAACAAUAAACUGGACUGGACAGACAACAGGAGGAGGAGAAUGAGGGACAAACCCGGGUCUAUCCUUGGUUACCCCUCUCAUCCCCUCUAUGUUGAGCUGUGGCAGAUCGGGAGCAUCUUCAGGCCCCGUCCACACGAAGCCGAAACAGGCGAAACCGUUACGGUUUCGAUCAAUCCGGUUUCGCAGUAUCUCCGUAAAGACGGAGUCAAGCGAAACCGGGAAGAUCUGUAGAAACGCUGUAGUACAUAUUCCAGGCCCAUAAGGGGCGCUGCUUCUGCUACAGAAAUCCUUGUUGUGAGUUCUGAGACUCCGCGGGCUUAACAGUCAUUGGCUAGAGGGUCGAGGGGUGGGGCGAUGACGUCAUGGUUUACGGUUUCAGUCGGUUUCAGGCGUCCACACGAAUCCAAAACGAAACCGGGUAGAUUUGAAACCAUCUCCGAGGGUGAUUUCAGAAGUUUGAGGUUUCGGUCAGCGGAUUCGCCGGCUUCGUGUGGACGGAAGGCCGAACCGUACAAGACCUUUGCGGUUUCGCCAUGAAAUCGGCUUCGUGUGGACGGGGCCUCAGUCAUAGAUUCUAACCCCAAGGUGCAAGACGAAGUGCUCCUUUGUGCCGACAGCCAUUAGGUGGCACAACAACGCCUGAUGUAUGUGUGUGUGUAUGUAUAUUUGUUUGUUUGUAUGCAUGUAUGUAUGUAUGUUAACAUUUGCAUUUAUGCUGUGAAGCCCCAUUCACACAUGGCUCCCGGCAAAGUACUGGGAUAAAACUGAAGGAACGGCUAGUGGUUUACACUAUUCACACAUGCAGCUACGCUCAGGAACAUUGUUCGUCUCGCGUCUUGCUCCCAUUCACACAUGGCAUAGCAAUGCCGGAAUAAAUGGGCCAAGGGACAGUCCAACAGAUGGCAGUAAUGCAACACUUUGAUGCCAACUUCCAUAGAACUCACGGAUCGAGAGGAGCUCCCUUGUUUUGGAACUUUUCCAGUUCCCAGCCAUUCUUGAAAAGAGGAGCUUGUUUGCAAAUGAAAUGAUUUCUCAGAAACAUCGGCACGUUAAGAUAAACAAUCUUGUGAUUCAGUCAUUUGCUCGCUCUACGUGAGAGCGUCUUACGUCAGACGGAUGCAUCGCUUUACGUGCCUCUCACGGCAAUGUGACUUCUUUCAUUCACAUUACAUGCUGUGACCUGGAAAUGUUGCUAGGUCUUGACCAGGCGAAUUGCUGAUUUCCCGGAUUAUCGAUCCCUGUUCCCAUUUACACAUGACCCAAUAAAGGAAAUCUUUGCAGGGUAAGACUGCAUGUGUGAAAGGAGCUUGGUAGAACCAGCCACUAGCCAUCUGCAAUUAAAGAGAGCUGCAACCACAGCAGCACCGCAUCCUCCUCCUUUCUGAAGACACACAGCAAAGGUUGGUCAGAGAGACAUCCUGACACAAAGCCUCAUGUAUCCAAUGCUUCUUCUCUUCAAACACUAAAGGCAGCAGUGGCUGCUGGGCUGGAAUUGCACGGUUUGAAGAACAGGCCGCUAAAGAGGGAGGCCAACUCAGAAAUAUGCCAAAUACCCACCAAGAAAAGGAAGAUCUGCUCCCAUCAUCCCGAGGUUGUGGAGGAGAAGUUGGACUCCAGCCAUAUGUCUUCAAAUAUGGAGAUAGAUGUUUACCCGGGUAUGUAUUUCUCUCCAGCCAGAUACCAGCACAGCAGCUUUAUUUUUCAGUUGUACCAGCACCUCCCGACAGGAACACAGCUGUUGCCAGUUGUACCAGCUCAUCUGCUUUAAAGAACCCUCUGACCACAGCACCACCUCGUCCACGUGUCUGAAGACGGAAAGAACGGAAAGAAUCUAAUUGAUGUGCACGUGUGUUUUAGAGGGGCUACAUAAGGUGCUGGAACGGCUGGAAAUAGAAGACCAUGGUAGUGUCUCUCCUGCUUUUGGUAACCUAUAUAAUCUGCGGGUAAGAGUUAAACAAAACCACACAAAAACCUAAGUUUCACAAAGACUUUACUUUAAAUCACCAUAUCCUCUAAACGCCAAAGCAGUGAAUUUGUGUCUUCAUCAUGUAGGUGGCCAUGAAGCACAUCCCAAAGAAAGAUUUGAAUGUGUCACCACCGGUAAGUCUUUCGUUUAUUAAAAUUCAUCUUGCUGAAUUUUAGAGAGAGGUUGUCGUGACCAUACUUUUUGGGUGCUGAACUCCUCAAUGACAUCGCUGAAGAUGAAGUUGGUACUGAACAUUGUCGCACAGUCAUGUGGGAACAAGAAGAACAGGAGGGGGCUGAACACAGUAACCUGAGGGGUGCCUAUGUUGGGGAUUACCGUUGAGGAAUUGCGUUGCCAACCGGGAGACCCCAGGGGGUGAGAAUCCCAAAGGUGUUUAGUCCUGGAACCAUGAGCUUGAAGACAAGUCUGGAGAAGAUAAUAGUGUUGUAUGCGGAGCACAGCAUCCCCACAGACGUUUUCGUUUGUCCAGUAAGAAAUUCAGGUGAGGGCAUUGUCGGCAUUGUCGGUGGAACUUUUGGACUGGUAUGCAAUCUGCAUAUGGUCCAAGGUUGAAUUCAGUGAGGAGCAGAUUCAUCACUUGACCAGCCACCAACCAACUGUCUCAUCACCCCAUUGACGGACUGUUCUUACAGAGGGCCUAAUACUAUUGGUACUGCCAAAUCGGUAGCCCAUAGAAGGUUCACCGUAACACAGACACUCCAUCCCUGCGCUUAAAUGAAACGGCUGUUUUUUCUUGCCGUAAGAUGCAGAACCAAAACAGUGUAUCAGUGUAAUACUGUGUUGCACUUCUGAGUUCUGCUGGAUCAGCUUCUUUUUUUUUUUUGCUGUCGUUUUUUUCUUGGGUCUAGCCAGGA